CAGUCGCCGCGGGAAUACGUAGGGUGCGAGCGUUAAUCGGAAUUACUGGGCGUAAAGCGUGCGUAGGCGGUGAGUUAAGUCUGCUGUGAAAUCCCCGGGCUCAACCUGGGAAUGGCAGUGGAUACUGGCUCGCUAGAGUGUGUCAGAGGAUGGUGGAAUUCCCGGUGUAGCGGUGAAAUGCGUAGAGAUCGGGAGGAACAUCAGUGGCGAAGGCGGCCAUCUGGGACAACACUGACGCUGAGGCACGAAAGCGUGGGGAGCAAACAGGAUUAGAUACCCCCGUAGUCCCUGUCUCUUAUAC
rnacentral:rRNA from 1 species